AACGAACGCUGGCGGCAGGCUUAACACAUGCAAGUCGAACGCAUCCUUCGGGGUGAGUGGCAGACGGGUGAGUAACACGUGGGAACGUACCUUUCGGCUCGGGAUAACCCAGGGAAACUUGGGCUAAUACCGGAUACGUCCUUUGGGAGAAAGAUUCAUUGCCGAAAGAUCGGCCCGCGUCUGAUUAGCUAGUUGGUGAGGUAAUGGCUCACCAAGGCGACGAUCAGUAGCUGGCUGAGAGGAUGAUCAGCCACACUGGGACUGAGACACGGCCCAGACUCCUACGGGAGGCAGCAGUGGGGAAUAUUGGACAAUGGGCGCAAGCCUGAUCCAGCCAUGCCGCGUGAGUGAUGAAGGCCCUAGGGUUGUAAAGCUCUUUCGGCGGGGGACGAUAAUGACGGUACCCGCAGAAGAAGCCCCGGCUAACUUCGUGCCAGCCGCCGCAGUAAG
rnacentral:rRNA from 1 species